GGGAAAAAGCCAAGAAGGAAAAGAAAAAUUCCCGCUGGCACAUCCGAUACACCUCCUGAAUUUUUGGGGAGGGGAAAUUUUGGACGCACAGAUUCCCAGAAAGGCGAGGGCACAUCUUGCUGCUACCCGCACAGCACCCGGCACACACGCUCUGCCGGCCGCCUGACAUUUCUGUGCCGCUCUAAGGUCCCGGCCGUGCUCCGCCGGGGGUUCCCCACUGCCCGCAGCCCCACGCCGCGCACACGGAACACCUGGGGGGCUGCGGCUGCGCCCGGAGACCGCAGCGCCCCCCGCUCCGCUGCCCUACGGGGCUGCGGGCGGUGCAGCUCACCUGGCCAUGGCCAGUUUCGCCACCCCCGCUGCCAUUUGUUGCUCGCUUUCGGAGGGAGCAGCUCUACUCCCCAUCACCGCCGCCUGCUCCGUAGCAACUGGUCCGGAGAUUUCUCUCCUCCUGUCAAGAAGCCUGAAGGCUCUCAGGGACAGGAUUCUCUUAGUUUCAGAACCUGAGCUCCACAGAAGAACAUAGAACACUUGCA
rnacentral:lncRNA from 1 species